AAGACGUUCAUUCUAGAAUGAACUAUGCAAAAAAAACCGCAAAUACAGUAAAUGUGUGUGCCUUUAGGUUACCGAUUUAAUGACGUCAAACAAUUUCAAAAUUACAAGUGUGACAUAUAAUAAUUUAUGCUUCAUAUACUGAUAGGUGAAUUUGAUUAAGACAAUAUAAUUUAUUUUCCAGCGCUACUUCCAGUACAGGCUCCAGUUGCUGAUGCCUCUCCGGUGAAAGCAUUCAGAGCUGCGACACCUGUUCCAGAAACAGUCGCCGAUCCACUGUUUAUGUUCUCGCGAUGCCAACCUACAGAAACUCCUCCUGAUCCGAAACCAUAUCCAGAUCCAGGGAUACCAAUUCCAGCUCCAGCGCCACUUCCAGCACCUUUAUAAUCAGUAAAAAAAAACGAUUACGUUUGAUCUGAUGAUCUAUCUAUGCAAUUUUCGCAGAGCAAAUCAAGCGACUUACCACUGACUCCUGGGAACUUUUCGAAACCUUGUUUUUCGACGCCGCCAAUCUGAUCAUUGCCAAAUUGAUUGGAAAGCAAUGGUCGGGCCGAGGCAGCAGCCAAGAGAACAGCAAAAAUCAAAGUAACCUGAACAAAUCAGAAGAGAAAAUAAAAGUUGUUAAGCAUCAUUGGUUUUGAAUCAAUGCAUAAAUCUACUAAAAUGAAAUGCUCCGCUUUCCACUGUUUGUCGAUUAUAUCGGCGUCAAAAUGACGAAAAGCGGCAAUUCUGAACGAAAUUACAGCAGAAAUCAGAAACUUCUCCUGGUCCAGCGCUACCGGUUCCAGCUCCAGAACCAGAACCGCUGCCAACUUUAUGGUUGCAAAUAUCAAUUCAUAAUUGGUAAACAAAAGUUUAAAAACCAGUUCAACUUAAUCAUGAUGCAUUUCGAUUGAAUCCAAGGAAAGCCAUUUUUCCUCCGACAAGUUAUCCAGCAUAAGGGAGUGCAGCUCCACCUAAAAGAGGACGUAGACCUAAAAGAGGACGAAGAGGCAAAUAGUUGGGCGGCUCCACUUCCGAAUCCUGUGACAGUUUCAGUGGCU